GCUGUCGGGAUGGCUGUGAGUCUGGGCCUGGAGGACAGGGAGGCUGAGAGGACCUUGGGAGUCGCUGUCUUCGGUGACGAGGCCACCUUGAGCCUGAGUGCAGACGGCGCGGACCGGAGCUGGGCUGCCAGCCCUCCUGCAUCCAGAGGUCGGAGGGAGGAAGGGGCCUCACGCUUGGCCAAGCCCGAUGUCCAUGGUCACCCACAGGGAGAGCCCAGGCACAGCUGCUGUCUCAGAACAGACGCCCGAGCCUGUGUUCGUGACCAGUGUAGCGCCCAGGCGGAGUCACUCAGCAGCCUGCCUGUCCCGUGCUCACGCGCGAUCCCAGGCCACUUACCAAAUGGGAGAUCACCGCAGCAUGCCGAGGCGUCAGAGCUCACCCGGGCCAACAGCCAGGCAGCCGGUGCCUGCGUCCUCCGUGCUGUCCCAGGCAGAGCGGAGCGGCGCUGCCUGUGGCCGAGGGGCGCGUGGCUGUGUCCCCUCCCAUGUCCCACUGCCUGGCGUCUGCCCUCAGAGCUCUGCUGGCUUUCGCCUCCAGGAGUCCUUCCUCCGAGACGGCUCCAAAGGCUGGUCCUGGCGAUUACAGGCCCAGCUCCGCAGUCCCGGGGAGGCAUUGGAGUCCCAGCCUGGCUGGGCCGACCCUCUGAGCCUCAGUUUCCUCCUCUGUUAGGGAAGGAGGAGUUAGAGGAGCUGCUUCAGGGGAGGCCUGAGCAGAAGCAGAGGAAGGUGAGAGCAGGUCGGCCUGGUCUUAACUCAGUCUUUUCCUAACCGCAGCUUCUUGCGCCUGACCUUGGCUCUCAGGAGAGACAGAAGACUGCAGAUGGGAUGAGAUUCCAGUUCAGUUCAGAUCCAUCACCAAAUGGAGGAUGGGCAUGGUGGACCAGGACGCACUGCAGAGCCAAGACGUGCGGCUCGGAGAGCGAGGACCCAUUGGGUGUUUCUGCUCUACUCCGUUCUGCAAAGAAACAGGAAGUGGCCGGUGCUGCACAGAGAGAGGUGCUGGCCAGGAGCCUAGAAUCUUCCCUCUGCUUUGGGAAGAAAUGUGAAGAUGGUCUGCGUUUGGAGCGAGCCCAGGGCGGAGGACGUUUGUCUGACAGCGUGGGCAGUUCAGCUCCUGCCCCAUCCUGCCAAGCAAUGGCCCAGGAACUGGCUGUCGGCAAAGUUUUGCUGCUGGAGGAACUGGCUCAGCAUGUUAAAGAGUUUUCCACACUGUCUGCAUUUGGCUGAAUUCGUUUUCUCUGACCUUGCGUGUUCUGUGAACUUGUGGUGAGAUGGAGACACAGUCCGAUUUCAGUUCGAGCCUUGGGGGAGGUCCUCACGGGCCAUGUGCUCCACCACCCGCGCCUGACGUCUGCUCACUCCCUUGUGUGCGCUGUGCAGCUGCUGGUGACACCUGUGCCCCACUGGGACUUGCAAGUGGCAACAGCAGAUCACACCACUCCUUUAUGUUUGUUUAGCCAACGUGCUCUACACAGAGAAACUCCUCCUUGUCCGCUAUUUGACUGACAUUCAGAUGUACAGGAAAGUGCCUCACUGCUUGCUCCUCUUCCUCUAUUUGCUGGUACUGUGUGGUGGCACAUGUCUGCAAUCCCAGUGCCGCAGGAGGCUGAAGCAGGCAGGAAGACCACAGGCGCAAGCCCACCCUGGGCUCCUAAUGGCUUAGUGAGGCCCUGGCUUAGAAUAACAAAAAGUAAAAGAGGCCUUGGCAUGCAGCUUGGCGCAAAGGCCUUGGGCUCAGCCCCCAGCACUGCACUACAGCAGCGACAACAACACAGCAACAAUGUGUCCUCUAGGCCCAACAAAUGUGAUCAAUGAAGUUUCCACCGAUACGAUUUUAAAUGCAGCAAACUAAAUUCAGGGGUUUUUUUCUGUUUUAAAAAGUUGAUAUAUUUAACAGCUGUGUUAAUAAAUUCAACCUUUACUAUUAUAGAACACUAUAACAACUGCUUAUCUAUAACAACUUCUAAAUAAGUAUUACUUGAAUUUUACUAAAAUAUUGGUAAUCAUAUACAUUGAAGACUAGAAGUGAUGUCAGAAAUAAUUUAGUACGGGCUGGGGAUUUAGCUCAGUGAUUCCAUCACCUGCCUCGCAAGCACAAGGUCCUGAGUUUGAUCCCCAGUACCAGAAAAACAAAAAAGAAAGAAAGAAAUAAUUUAGUACAAAAGCUUAUAGGUAAAAGACAUCAAGCCCCAAAGAAGCUAGAAGACCGCUACAGAAUAUACAGGGUUACACUAUGAGAGUCCAACUACCUAGUAAAGAAUGGUCAUAACUUCUGGAUUGUUACUGUUAAAGUUUGUUUUCUUUCUGCUACAUACUGCCUGGGAUGAAAUGUUAUGAAUUUCCCCCUGAAAUUUAAUAGUGCGAUUUGCAUUAAUAGCAAGAUAACAUCAGGAGAAAAUUAGUAAAAAUAAAUGACUUUUAUUCAAAUGAAAUAUUCUCAAUUCAGGAUUUUUAAAUACACCUGAUGGCUCGAUACAUGGUCACGGCAUUGUCACUGACGCGCCAGGCUCUGGUCGGCCACUGGGCCCCUGGACACAGCCU
rnacentral:lncRNA from 1 species